rnacentral:lncRNA from 1 species
GAAAUGUUAAUUAUUUAUUCACAUAUACAUAAAUGGUUCAAUUCUUGAGACCUCUCUUUGAUGGUCAGAAUAAAUACAACUUCAGUAGUUUCAUAGCUUGUUUAUGCUGUUUCUGGUGUCUGCUUGUCAAUUCCUAAUGUGAGUAGAAUGCAGAAUCUCUUUCUACGAGCAAAAUCGUAUUUACCAUUUAGAUUGUGCUAAAAUAUGAUCCUACAGAUCUCAAUUAUCAUGAAACAAGAAUAGACAAAAUUGAUAAAAGCUUGAUUCUUACAGAAUUUGAGAGACAUUUCAUGAAUUAUUUGAAUAACCAAUUAUGCUCCAAUUUGCUCAAACGGUGUCAUUUGAAAGAUAUAUUAAUCUAGUUUCAGAUAAAUUAAGUUUUGUAUGAAUUAGAGUUUCCAGCAAGGAGUUAUAAAUAGUUUAGCAACCAAAGGUUAGAGAACGUCAUCUCUGUUUUGCAGAAUUUAUAGAGUUGAUUAGAACAGAUGUUUCAAUAGGCAUUUGUACUUCAAAUCUUUCAUAUAAGGUAUAAAAAGAAAUAUCUAUGAGUCUAGUUUCUCAUGAAGCAAGUUUUGCCAUAACUGGAUUCUUUAACAGAGAGUUAGAAGUAAAAUAGUACUAAAUGGUCAGAACUUACAAUCUUUGUUUUACAGAUUUCAUAGGGUCAAUUGAAAUAAAAGUUUAGGUAGGCAUUUAGACUCCAAAUUUGUCAAUCUUGGUAUCAAAAGAAAUAUCAAUAAGUCUAUUUUCGAAUGAAUUAGGUUUACCCAAAUCAGAGUUCGUUGCAGAAAGUUAUGGCUAGCAUAAAGCAAAAAGGUCAAAAUCUCAAAAAAUUCCAGAUUUAUAGUUUUAUUCCUAAACGAGGGAGAUAUCAUGUGCAAAGUCAAAAUCUUUCGAAUUUUUCAGAAUUGAGAUGAAAUCAGAGAUCAAGAUUAUUGUAAGAUGGGGUUAGAAUACUUGCCUUUGAAGGAUUAGAUCCCAAAUGAAAGGAUUUGAGCUAAAACCCUAAGCCCCAAAUCCUACCCCUUCUUCUUCUUCUUCUUCUUCU